AGAGUUUGAUCCUGGCUCAGAAUCAACGCUGGCGGCGUGCCUAACACAUGCAAGUCGCACGAGAAAGGGACUUCGGUCCUGAGUAAAGUGGCGCACGGGUGAGUAACACGUGAAUCAUCUACCUUCGAGUGGGGAAUAACUGGGAGAAAUCUCAGCUAAUACCGCAUAAUACCUACGGGUCAAAGCAGCAAUGCGCUUGAAGAGGAGUUCGCGGCAGAUUAGUUAGUUGGCGGGGUAAUGGCCCACCAAGACGAUGAUCUGUAUCCGGCCUGAGAGGGCGCACGGACACACUGGAACUGAAACACGGUCCAGACUCCUACGGGAGGCAGCAGUGGGGAAUUUUGCGCAAUGGGGGAAACCCUGACGCAGCAACGCCGCGUGGAGGAUGAAAUCCCUUGGGAUGUAAACUCCUUUCGAUAGGGAAGAUUAUGACGGUACCUAUAGAAGAAGCCCCGGCUAACUUCGUGCCAGCAGCCGCGGUAAUACGAGGGGGGCAAGCGUUGUUCGGAAUUAUUGGGCGUAAAGGGUGCGUAGGCGGUUUGACAAGUCUUGUGUGAAAUCUAUGGGCUCAACCCAUAGUCUGCAUCGGAAACUGUCGGGCUUGAGUAUGGGAGAGGUGAGUGGAAUUUCCGGUGUAGCGGUGAAAUGCGUAGAUAUCGGAAGGAACACCUGUGGCGAAAGCGGCUCACUGGACCAUAACUGACGCUGAGGCACGAAAGCUAGGGGAGCAAACAGGAUUAGAUACCCUGGUAGUCCUAGCCCUAAACGAUGAUUGCUUGGUGUGACGGGUACCCAAUCCCGCCGUGCCGCAGCUAACGCGAUAAGCAAUCCGCCUGGGGAGUACGGUCGCAAGGCUGAAACUCAAAGGAAUUGACGGGGGCCCG
rnacentral:rRNA from 1 species